rnacentral:ncRNA from 1 species
CUCACAGAAUUUAAGCAUUUUAGUUAGUGGAGGAAAAUAAAACUUAACAAGGAUUCCCUCAGUAAUGGUGAGUGAACACAGAAGAAGCCAGCACUGACAUAGAAAAUGUGGCAAAUGGUAGACCUGCCUUCCAGUGCUGCUUGUAAGGGGCCCAAGUUCUUCUGACGGAGGCUCAGCCUGUGGAUGGCGUGAGGCCAGGAGCCACCCUUGCAGCACUGAGACUGGGUCUUCCCAGAGGUGAAUUGCUUGAGAAUGUGCCCAAAGUGGGCAGUAAACUCCAUGUAAUCUAAAUAUUGUUGU